CGUAGGGUGCGAGCGUUAAUCGGAAUUACUGGGCGUAAAGUGUGCGCAGGCGGCUCCGCAAGUCGAGUGUGAAAUCCCCGAGCUUAACUUGGGAAUUGCGCUCGAAACUACGGAACUGGAGUGUGGCAGAGGAAGGUGGAAUUCCACGUGUAGCGGUGAAAUGCGUAGAGGUGUGGAGGAGCACCGAUGGCGAAGGCAGCCUUCUGGGCCAACACUGACGCUCAUGCACGAAAGCGUGGGGAGCAAACAGGAUUAGAUACCCUGGUAGUCCACGCCCUAAACGAUGAUGACUAGUUGUUGGAGGAGUUAAAUCCUUUAGUAACGCAGCUAACGCGUGAAGUCAUCCGCCUGGGGAGUACGGUCGCAAGAUUA
rnacentral:rRNA from 1 species